rnacentral:tRNA from 1 species
GGCCUCUUAGCUCAGCUAGUAGAGCGUGCAUUUACAAGGCAUAGGCGGCGUUCAUGCGUGGGUUCGAAUCCCACUGAGGCUA